GGCGCUGCUUUGGAUCUGCCUUGGGCUUGGGACACGGAGACCAGCCUUGUCAGUACCGAGUGUGCAGAGCAACAGUGGGACCUGGGCUCCAGCUGCCCCAUCUGUAGAAUGGGGCUAAAGUCAGUUUCCAGCUGCAGGGAACCCAGGGCAGGCAGGAAGAACCACUGCAGCUCCAGCCAGAACCCCGGUUUGCAGAUCACGGACAGGAGUAAAGAUGCAGAGAUCGCACCGCUGCAAGCUUCAGACCCCAGGGCCCCUGGAUCCUGUUUACCCACAGGAAAGCACAAUUCUCCAGGGGCUUUUCAGUUCCACGGGGAUUUUCCCACCAACACUGGACCUCAAGCAGCAGUAGGUUUCAGGUUCAGGCUCCACCAGUAGAGGCUCUGGCAGUGCUUUUCCAGAACUACAUGUUGUGGGUCCCUCCUUUUCUCCACCCUGGACCUCCUUUAUCAUUCUUUCCCCACGGAUCCCUGUGGGAAAA